rnacentral:tRNA from 1 species
UGUGACUUAGUUUAUUUAGAACAAUCAACUUGCACUUGAUUAGAGAAUUUUUUCAGUAACGG